UGGUUUAAUUCGAUGCAACGCGAAGAACCUUACCUGGUCUUGACAUCCACAGAACUUUCCAGAGAUGGAUUGGUGCCUUCGGGAACUGUGAGACAGGUGCUGCAUGGCUGUCGUCAGCUCGUGUUGUGAAAUGUUGGGUUAAGUCCCGCAACGAGCGCAACCCUUAUCCUUUGUUGCCAGCGGUUAGGCCGGGAACUCAAAGGAGACUGCCAGUGAUAAACUGGAGGAAGGUGGGGAUGACGUCAAGUCAUCAUGGCCCUUACGACCAGGGCUACACACGUGCUACAAUGGCAUAUA
rnacentral:rRNA from 1 species